rnacentral:lncRNA from 10 species
GUGAUCAUCGCUGGAUGGGAAAGCAGCUUCCUGUCUCCCUCUCAGCAAGUGGAGUGCAGUGGGGUGGGCAGCUGCUUGCUGCAGACUCACUCCUAUCCCCAAAGAAGCCUUGAGAGGAGGCCCUACCAUAUGGGGAGACUGAAGAUCUGAAAGGCCCAGCUUGCCCAAGGAACUCAGCCAGUGAGUGGCAGAGCCUCCUCCCGUCCCAAAACUCUGCCUCUGGCCACCCCCAAGCACUGCCCCUCUGAUGGCAUCAGGGACGCGAUAAAGAAACCUCAGGCAGGGCCGGCCGAGAGCCCUUCUCCCAGGCUUGCCUCCAGCUGUGCAGGAAGCCCACCUGCCCAAGACUCACCUGCGGCAUUUGGCGAAAAGCAGUCCUGGGCUCCCACCCUCCCCGGCCUACUUGAACAGGAUCUCGAGGGGUGGACCCAGGACUCUGCCCAAGACUGUUGAGUCCCUCCCUCCCCGGUCUUUGAGGUGGCAAGGCUUCCCCUUUUGCCUCCACUCCCCUGUUCCUGCCACAGCAGCCUCCUAGGACUGUGUUGCUCUUUUCCUUUGAGUUGGUCUGGCUCUGCAGGGGUCACCCAGGCCCCAGGCUCUCAGUGGGUGGGGAUCUGAUGUAGCACUGACAUGUUUCAUCCACUUGACUGGCAGGUCAAGGACAGCCUGGAGGUGGGCAAGUCAUCAGGACCCCAGACCAGGAACGAUGGAGGCUCCAAAGUCCACCAGUAGAGGGAAGAAAAUAGCCGCUGUCCCCAGGCAGAGCCACCAGUCACACAGGGACGAGAUCUCAGAAUGAGCACUGGGCAGGGUUCUCUGGGAUGCUGAGCUCUGGUCUUCCCUGUGAGCGGCCUUGGACAAGUCAUCUGCCCAGACCCUCCAUACCCCGUGCUGUGUCUUCUCAGAGAGUGAGCGUUCGGAAGCAUGGCGCUCUCUGAAGUCCGUGGCUGGGAUGUCCAUGGCUGUGACGACCUUCUGAAAACCAUGUGGUCUCUGUCCCACUUUCAGCCUCACAGUGCACGAAUGCAAGCCCGGAGUAAGCGCCCCCAACUGGGCUCAAGACCUUCUUCUUGGGGGUCCCUGUUGCAUCAGCUUCUUUUAAGUUAACUUUCUCUUGCAGUACAGUAUGAAUAAAGAAAAGUCUAACACUAUGUGUCCAACUCCAUUUGGACUUUCACAAAGUGAGUACCUUCAUGUCCUCAGCUCUCAGAUCAAGAAGAAAAUACUGCCAGCUCCCGAGUCCUCUUCUACCUCUUCCUGUCAUUAAUACCCCCAAGACAACGACGACCUUGACUACUAACGCCAGAGGUUAAUCUGGCCUCCUUUGGAAUUACACGACAGGUACGCUCUUGCAUCUGGCCUCUCUCCUCCCACGUGGAGUCUGAGCCUCACCACAUGACGUCAUAGCUCCUUCCUCUCACUGCUGUAGCCCAGCCCAUCUCAUGAACAAAGCACCAUCCAUAUAUCCAUAUGCCUCUGUGGAUGGAUGCUUGGCUCGGUUUUCAGUCUGGGCUAUUACGGUGCUGUCAUGAGCAGUCUCCUGGUGAACAUUUGC